rnacentral:rRNA from 1 species
AGAGUUUGAUCCUGGCUCAGGACGAACGCUGGCGGCGCGCCUAACACAUGCAAGUCGAACGAGCGAGAGAGAGCUUGCUUUCUUGAGCGAGUGGCGAACGGGUGAGUAACGCGUGAGGAACCUGCCUCAAAGAGGGGGGACAACAGUUGGAAACGACUGCUAAUACCGCAUAAGCCCACGGCUCGGCAUCGAGCAGAGGGAAAAGGAGCAAUCCGCUUUGAGAUGGCCUCGCGUCCGAUUAGCUAGUUGGUGAGGUAACGGCCCACCAAGGCGACGAUCGGUAGCCGGACUGAGAGGUUGAACGGCCACAUUGGGACUGAGACACGGCCCAGACUCCUACGGGAGGCAGCA